AUUACACAAAGGGAUACUUAACCUCACUCACUGCCAAAAUGCAACCACAGCUGGGCUGGGAUGCAGCAGCCAUUACAGAUCUCACCAGACACGCUACACGACGGGAUAGGAAAAAUGCAGGGAAAAGAGACAAACCUUUAGAGGGCACCAAUCCUGAUCAAGGCCUCUGGAUGCUACUGAAAUUGCCACUUCCCUGAAGGUAAUCUUCAUUGCGGGGAUGGAGAGGAGUCUGUCUGCAGACUACACUACCACCCUGAUGGAUGUGUUGCAAUAUCAGUGGAUGAGCAACACGACAGUGGAAAAAAUGCUGGCUCCCCUUGCUACCACAGAGUCGUUUAUUUCUGUGAUACUUCUGAGACUCAGACUAUGAGACUUUUGCCUUUUCCUCCCUCAACACGUUUAACUUUUGACCUAUGUCAGCUGUCAGAUUAGAAUGAGUUUAGUCACAUCAGUCUGGGCAGGAAUUAAAGCCAAGCCCUGGAGGUGAAAGAGCAGAGCCUUAAAGAGAUCACCUUAAUUGACUGGGCCUCUUAAUCCUCCUGUUCUUGUACAUUAAUCCAAAUGCCUCGAGUUCUUCUUUUUAACCUGCUUUUUAAAGCUGAAGGAGUUAUACUUUUAUACAACAAAGCUGAGCGAAGAAGGCAAAUGUGACCUUAGCCCUUCUAAAGAGGGGGCUUUAAGAUCAUUUUGAAUGCUGGUCUUUAUUCCGGUCACUCCCCGGCAGUGUAAUAGCUGGAAAGUAUCAGCCAGAUCCUCCUUAACCUGAAACCUGUCAGUGAUGUUUUGCAGAAUAGUGCUGGUGUUUGACAUUCCAUUUGCAGUUUCCAUUUAUGUUCUUAGUGUCCUGAUAACCCGGAUACUUGAAACAAGCACAAAGAAAGCACAGUUUAGAGCACGCUAAAUUUAUCAUUGAAUGAGUUUUGUUGGCUAGGAACUCCAUUUCUCCGAGCACCUUCUUGACACAGUAGCUGUCAGUGUGUACCCCGUCAUUGCCAGUCUCAGCAGAGAGGCCAAGUUCUGAAUGGGCCAUGGAGACUGUAUUGUCCCCUAACUUCCAGAGAUGCCCCCUUUAGUCAAUGAUAUGGUGGUGAGACAACUGGGGAAAAUAUUGAAUUCAACAGCCCAUGCCUUGUGUUAUGUAGCCAGAUGGAAAACUUUGGGCUCCAGCAACUUUAAUGAGCAAUCGACUAAAAACCAGAUAGAUUUCCAUUGAUACUUAUUUACAGACAAACUGUCAUCAUGCAUAAUUAAGCAAUUGAGUUGGCUCUGCAAUAAAUAGACCCAGCAUCUGAUUUCCAGUGUAG